rnacentral:tmRNA from 1 species
GGGGCUGAUUUUGGAUUUGACGGAAUAUUCAAAAUCUAAGGUGCAUGUCGAGGUACGGUAGGCCUCGUUAACAAACCGUAAAAAAUAGUCGCAAACGACAAAAACUACGCUUUAGCAGCUUAAUAAGCUGUGGAAGUCCUUUCUAACUAUUUUUUCUCUUGAAAUAGUAAUUUGAAAGGUCAAUCUUUAAAGAGAUAAUGCUAAUUUAACUUUACCUAAAAGUUAUUAGUGUGAAAUUUAUAUUUAGGUUAGUUUUAUAGAAGCGCGUCUUGCCACUUCUAUAAGAUGAAAACAAUGCUAGACUAAACAUGUAGUGCUUAAGACGUAGAAGUUUCGGACGCGGGUUCAAAUCCCGCCAGCUCCACCA